rnacentral:rRNA from 1 species
UACGUAGGUGGCAAGCGUUGGCCGGAUUUAUUGGGUUUAAAGGGUGCGUAGGCGGUCUUUUAAGUCAGUGCUGAAAUAUCCCGGCUUAACCGGGAGGGUGGCAUUGAUACUGAAGGACUUGAGUUCAGUCGAGGUAGGCGGAAUUGACGGUGUAGCGGUGAAAUGCUUAGAUAUCGUCAAGAACACCGAUAGUGUAGACAGCUUACUAGGCUGAAACUGACGCUGAGGCACGAAAGUGUGGGGAUCAAACAGG